rnacentral:rRNA from 1 species
GAGAUUGGCGCGGCUACCAUGCAGUCGAGCGGUAACAAAUAGUAGCUUGCUACUCUGGCGACGAGCGGCGGACGGGUGAGUAAUGCUUGGGAACGUGCCUUGGGGUGGGGGACAACAGUUGGAAACGACUGCUAAUACCGCAUAAUGUCUACGGACCAAAGGGGGCUUCCGCUCUCCCCUUUAAAUUGGCCCAAGUGGGAUUAGCUAUUUGGUGAGGUAGUGGCUCACCAAGGCCACGAUCCCUAGCUGGUUUGAGAGGAUGAUGAUCCACACUGGGACUGAGACACGGCCCACACUCCUACGGGAGGCAGCAGUGGGGAAUAUUGCACAAUGGGCGAGGGCCUGAUGCUGCCGUGCCGCGUGUGUGAAGAAGGCCUUCGGGUUGUAAAGCACUUUCACUUACGAAGAAAGGGUAAUAUUUAAUACCUGCUAGCUGUGACUUUACUGACAAAAGAAGCACCGGCUAACUCCGUGCCCGCACCCGCGGUAAUACAGAGGGUGCGAGCGUUAAUCAGAAUUACUGGGCGUAAAGCGUACGCGCGCGGUUUGUUAAUCGAGAUGUGAAAGCCCCGGGCUCAACCUGGGAACUGCAUUUCAAACUGGCAAUCUAGAGUGAGAUAGAGGGUGAGAGAAUUUCAAGUGUAGGGGUGAAAUGCAUAUAUAUCUGAAAGAAUACCUAUGGCGAAGGCACCCACCUGCGUCAACACUGACUCUCAUGUUCAAAAGCGUGGAGAGCAAACAAGAUUAUAUCUCUUGGUUCAACA